UUUUGGUCUAAAAGUGCUCGUUAAAAUAAUCAUGAGACAUGCAGAUGUAUAUUGAACAGGCCUACAAGUAUUUAAAGAUGUAUAAUCGCAUUUACCAGCAAAAUCUGCUCAUUUAAGUGCCUUCGGCAGAAGUGGUCAUUUGUAUUAGUAAUUCACAG